rnacentral:rRNA from 1 species
AUUGAACGCUGGCGGCAUGCUCUACACAUGCAAGUCGAACGGUAACAGGCCGCAAGGUGCUGACGAGUGGCGAACGGGUGAGUAAUGCAUCGGAACGUGCCCAGUCGUGGGGGAUAACUACUCGAAAGAGUAGCUAAUACCGCAUACGAUCUAUGGAUGAAAGCGGGGGACCGUAAGGCCUCGCGCGAUUGGAGCGGCCGAUGUCAGAUUAGGUAGUUGGUGGGGUAAAGGCUCACCAAGCCAACGAUCUGUAGCUGGUCUGAGAGGACGACCAGCCACACUGGGACUGAGACACGGCCCAGACUCCUACGGGAGGCAGCAGUGGGGAAUUUUGGACAAUGGGCGCAAGCCUGAUCCAGCAAUGCCGCGUGCAGGAAGAAGGCCUUCGGGUUGUAAACUGCUCUUGUACGGAACGAAACGGCUCUGGUUAAUACCCGGGGCUAAUGACGGUACCGUAAGAAUAAGCACCGGCUAACUACGUG